UUGGUGGAACUUAUUUUUCAUAUAGAGGAGGUGGUGUGGACUAUCUAUGUCUCCCAAAUGAUCCAGAGAAUGGACAACACCAAUCAUAUGGCAAUGACCAGAUACAUGGAGGUGAAUAACAUCUAAGUUCAUCAAUGAAGCCAUCAGGAUGGUCAACAAGUAUGGACAACAAGGAGGUGCCGUGUUCUGUAUGUUACCAAAAACGAAGAUCAGCUGUUUUGAUGAUACCAGGUCGACAGACUUGCUAUAAAGGAUGGAACUCAGAAUAAAAUGGUUAUCUGAUGAGUAGUCAUAAAGGACAUUACAAGAGUGACUACGCAUGUUUGGACAAGAAUGCAGAACCAUUAGACGACAAGAAUGGAGAGGAAAGUGGAGCUUUGUUUUAUCCUAUACGAACCAAAUGUAGUAAUUUAAGAUGCCCUCCAUAUACCAAUGAGGCAGAUGUUCUUUGUGUCGUGUGUACAAAGACAAAUGUAUAGAAAUAAACAUACGAAACGAU